AAAGAAAAACUCCUCUCUCCCUCUCGGCUCUCCUCUCUCCCAAAUUUUUUCCAACAUAUUUGCACACAACAAGGCAGCAAUCGGUUGGAUUGGAGCUUGGCAAUUUCAUCAAAAAUCUUGGCAAAUGGACCAAACUCUUCAUUGAGGUAUUUAUCUCCCUUUUUCCAGCUUUUCUUUUUUUUAAUUAACUAGAUUGAAUGUAUGUGUGGUUACCUUUUUUAUUGCUUAUUUUUGCUGGUUUUUGUUGGUGUUGUAUGGAUGAAAUUUUGGGAUGGGUCACUGAACAAAAUUAGAAAAAAAAGAAACGGUGCUGUGAAUGCAUGCCAAAUGUUUGAAAAAAUGUCUAAAUGAAAAAAUGAAUCAAAGAAGUGAAUUUGGCGUGUAUGUUUUGCUUAAAUGGAAGACCAUUAGCUAGCAAAGAUCUGAAAAUGCUUGGUUAUCCAAAAUUUUGGGAGUUUUUGAGCCUUAAAAGCAUUAGAAUAAUUUUCUUCAUUUUUG
rnacentral:lncRNA from 1 species